rnacentral:lncRNA from 1 species
UUCCGGUGGCUUAAUUAACCCAUCACCUAACUCUGCCUUCAGGGACAUGGGUGAGGGUUGGAAUUCGAGACUCUAAUUGUUUUCCUUUUUUUUUUUCCUUUUAAAUCAUUCAUUGGAGAGAAGCCGAUGUGGGAGAAUAUCUUUCUUGGAUAUCACGUACUUUUAUCUCGCAAUCAUCCCAAUUUACCCUUCCUAUCCAACUUUAGAAUGCCUUAAUGGUGGGCC